rnacentral:lncRNA from 1 species
CGCGCGCGGCUCCGGGGGGCUAGACGGAGCGACGGCGGGGGAGGCGCUUCCGCCUCAUACCAUGGGGGACCCGCGCGGUCAGCGCACUUCCGCUCGGGGCGGAUUCUGGGGCUGCGGGGAGAGUAGGACGGAAGUGGGUACUGACUGUUGACCUAGGGUCAGACAUAUGUCACACAUAUGGCAGAGGCGGAAUUCAACUUGGAUGUACCUCUCCCUAGGGCGUGCGAUGGCCACCUCAUGUCUAAGCUGGAGCUAAGGUGUGGAUGUGGCCUAACACCCCCCACUCCUUUGCGAUCCGAUACAUGUUUGCAUCCUUCUCUGGGAAUCAGCCAGUAACUGACAUGGAAGACAUUCAGCAGAGGCCGAAUGAGUGCUCCCCUGGGCUGGCUGUGACAGAGUGAGGGGCUCAUUAGUCCUCACCUACCAUUGCGGCUCUCUAUGGUCCCUUGUUCCUUCUGGGCGCUCCGAGAGCAGACCGAACUCACACAUCACAGUUGAUGCCCUACCUCACAGUGUGUGUUUGUGUGUGUGGUUGUUGUUGUUGUUGUCGUUUUACUUUGAGAUUGGUUCUAUGUAGCCCUAACCCCCUGCCUGUUCUGGAACUUUCUAUGUAGAUGUGGCUGACUUUGAACCUACAGAGAUCUGCCUACUUCUACCUCCUCAGUGCUAGAAUUAAAUACGUGUGCCACCA